rnacentral:rRNA from 1 species
GCUUCGCCAAGGUAGCUGAGAGAGUUAGCUUUGAGUCAAGAUGCACCCGGCCCUCCCGACCUCACCCCUCGGCUGCUCCGCCGUCGCCUCCCCCUAGCGGCCUCUGCCCUACCUGCACGGCACCCACGACCACCGCGUGCCCAGACACUGCCGCGACCACCAACACAGCAAAGAGACACCCGUCACCGGGUAGAAGCUCCCGUGGAAGCAAGUCUCGUAGUUGGUGAAGGAGUGGAGGCCUCGGAUGGCGGUGAAAGACGCCGAUCACGUCCGCCGCACGCCAUGGCCUCGGUCCCUAGAGCACGAGCCGCAGCUCGUCAUGACGACGCUGGCGGGAUUGGGAUAGGACGUCCAAAAAAUACAACGGUAUUAACCGCCUUGUAUAAAAUAUUAUCACGUCAGUAGAAAGUUCAUGUAAGGACCCAUAAUGCACUCACAUAACGUGUCCAUGGACUCGUAACACCAACAAAGAUAACCACGAUAUGAGAAACAAGAGUGAUCGAAGAGACUAGGACCCUGAUAAUGAAGACUCUUGCACAGAGUCAUACAUAGACGGAUAGGAAAACUGUUGUAAUAAAUACAUCUCUUUCUUACAAGUUGUACGUUCUAAUGGUCUGGUCGAUCCCGUUUCGUGACAUCUUAUACGCUAUCUACACACCGAGCUAAACUAGUGGUGACACCUACCUACUUAUUAACGUAACCCCUCUUCUUAUGAGCGAUAAAACACCGGAAGAAUCAAACCGUAAAAGAAAAUACAGACAUACCUCGUUAAUAGGAACCGAAGUAACAACGACCACUUAACUUUCUGUUCUUUCAACAGAUGUAUGACUGUCUGUAAGUUUACCGUUCUGAUGUAAAAGACCUACUUUUUCCUCUUGCGUCACUUUCGAUCGCGUAUGUGUGACUUCCGCUCGUAGUUGCGUCGGUCGUCGCUUCGCGUCUUUAGCGGCGUUUCGUUUACCUUCUUCAAGAAGAGUUCCAGCUUUUGUGCCCGGCUCCUCGGCCAGCACUUCUUAUUGUAUAUACUGCAACCGACCUAGUCCUUGGACACACUCCACUACCAUGGAAAUAGCCUCGCCUCAAGCAAGAGAACGUUCUUCAGCCUUACUUCACUUUACGACAACGUUGACAACAUACUGAAUUGACAACAUAUAGGUACCGCAACAUCUUAAAACCCUUGUAAAGGGGAGGGGGGAGUAUGUGACUGUACCACAAUCCCGGCACUAACCUCGGUUUCAUUAAUUGACAUCUACUGUCAGACACGUUCAGCAAAAACGAACAUAGUAAGGACUUCGUUAUCAAAACCGUAAAACUAUUGAAGUAAUAGACCCGUGAGCAGGCAAUGGGCCUUUCGUUAUUUAUCAAAACUGUAAAACUUAUAAUCGUAUACAUGUGGGAUAACAUAAAGCAUAGUUGAGGAUAUAAGUACUCAUCAACAACACUACAGGUGAAACAAUGGUCAUAUACUGGAAUGCACAUACAAUAACAGUACACAACCCCGC